rnacentral:lncRNA from 1 species
UUACCCUCUAAAAACUCACCUCUUCCACCCCCCUCCUCCACCUCAUUGGCCAGGGUCUCCAUCUCUCCUAUCUCCAUACUGGACACCAGCAUUCCUGCAGAAAAGUAGCAGAAAGAGAGAUGUAUUCCCUGCUGAAAGUGGAAAUUGCAAGACAUAGAGACCAUGUGAAGAUGAUAAAGGGGUCCCUGUUCCCCAGAUGCUGAGGUAGUGAUGAAGAAGCCAGAGCUGGCACUCACCUGUGGGAAGGAGUUCCCUCCCGGCGCUCCUGCAGUGCCCCUGUCCUGUUUGUGGAAAUGCAGUUACUACAUCAUGGGAAUUGCCAUAUCUCCCUCCCUUUGGCCAGCUGCAGAGGUGGCGCAAGAGGAAACAGGCAGCAGGCCGGCAGUGACAUCUCAUUGAGAUUGCACAGAGAAAUUGCUUCCUGCUCCCUGACGAGACCACACGUGUGCUUCAUCCCUUGCCAGCAAAGCCAGGACAGAGGGAGAGGUAAGCUCGGGGCCAGGGUGGGCUGUUUGGGCUGCUGUUGUCGUGUUCCGCUCCGUUCUGAGACCUCCUGCCCAUCACAUCCCCAGUUUGGGCUCGGGGAGAAGCGUGGCCCCAGCCCCAGGGGCAUUCAGUCUGAGUUUUUCCUUGCCAUCCUGCAUGUUCCCAGCUCUUAUUCAGGGCUGAAUAAAAAAUAAAAAAAAAAUUAAAAAAAAGGAACUCUAUAUUCAAGUAACUGCUUGGUGCAUGCUGCUUUGUGCACAAAGCACCCAAGUGGUAUGAAAACUUGUAGAAAUUUCCCAGAUGGGGAAAGAAGGGAAAGCUACAACAUCUCCUUUAAUGCAAUGAAAAAGUGGCAAAGUCAGACUGAUGAUGUAAUAUUGACUUCAACCUCGGGCAAUUUAAUCUUAGAUUUUUUCCUGGAUAUUACAAAAAAAGGUGCUGAAAUCAGCAAUAAACUCCUUUAAAAGUAAAUUAUUCCCUAUAAU